rnacentral:sRNA from 2 species
GAGUGCUGUUCAUGGUGAGAGGAGUGGGAAUCCUUCAUCGUAGAAGGUGAAAGGAAUGAUGUUAGCACCAUCGUGAUUUCGAGUCAGCAUGAAUGUGGCCAAGAAAACGAGCUAACCCCCAUCACCAUGGGCUUGGGCUAUUGGUAUGUUGGUGAAGGUUAAAUCAGCUCUUUUGGCAUCAUAAGCAGUAGUGUAUAUCCUCUUGGGUGGCCAAGCCAGCAGGGUUGCGCUGGAGAGACCCUGUGUAGAAUUGGAAUGAAGACCAACACCAGACUUGGGAAUGGUGUGAUUCCCAUCUGGUCCAUCCACGACUGGUGAUGAGAGUGAGAUGACAUUGGGGGUUUUGGUUUCCACAAAACCCUCUUCCAAAUAAGCAACACACAAAUAAUGAUCAACUGAUUGAUAUGAGUAUCAGGUUGUGUAACGUUAUAUUACUGUUCUGUCCGUUUCGGUCGGUGUGUCACUGUCAGCUCUGAUAGAAAGCAAUGAUUGAGCUGAAGACAAGCCGGGUGAGGAUAGCAAAUGGAUUCUGAGUUCUUUGGGUGAUGGGUGGUAAUGAAAAGCUGUUGCGAUAGUCUGUUGAAUCAGCGGUGGUGGUCAGAGAUGGAAUAAAGAGAGCUUCCUCGGUUGAUUUAAGCAAUGUUAAGGUUUCAUGAGAACUGAGAGUGAAAAGGAUCAGUGCCAUUCCGUGCAACGAAAGGAGGCCGACUUAAGGGGAAUAUGGUCCCAGAGACCUGGAAACUUUGGAUGGCUAGAGAUGCUCCUUGUCUAGAGGUUGCUGGAGCUAUUGGUACAGUGCCUAUACAGCCGCUUUUGAUCAAAACCCUUUCACUCGUCUCUGGAAGAAAUAGGCCAGCAACUGAUUUUUCAUUCAUAACUGUACAGAUCUGUAAGAGAUCCAUAGAUAAUAAAAAUAAAAA